UGCUCAUCUAGCGCGUAUUUCUUUAUUAAUAUCUGCUGGGUGAAUAUUAAUACGUAUAUGCUAACAUUAAUUUUGUGACCACAAAAUGACAGCGAGCUAUUAUACGAGAUAUUGUGUCGUCGUGUUUGUCUUCACUCACUUCAUCAUUAUCUGCAAACAACUUCUGCAACUACACAAUGAUUGUCUGCCUGUGUGCAAAAUAAAGCACGUUCACUGUGUAAAACCCCGCGCAGGACAUUUUCAAAUUAACGGUCAGGGCGAGUCUGAGCUUAUCGUGUUGUGUUGACAGAGACUUUGCUGAGGUAAGUAAGAGAAAGAAAUUAAUGUGUUAAAUAAAUAACGUUAUAAACUUGAAUUAUGUUGUGCCAGAAUACGUUGUUUAAUGAAUAUCUGUGGAAUAGGUUUAAAAUAAUACAUUAAUGACUGAACGUGAACUUGACUGAACAUUAUGGCAGCUAGAAGUAUUGAAAAGACGUAUAAUAGAUUUAACAAUGUUUUAUCUUCUUUAUUAGUGUAUGUAAAUCUGGGCUACAGUCCACGACAAAUUUUCUACGGUAGUUUUACGCCUGCAUGCUGGUCCUUUCGUCUAUCGCGGGGAUAUCAUCACUUCAGCGGACAUCGCACUGAAGAGAUCCUUCCUGUGCUUGCGUGGCGGUGUGUUUGUGUGCUCACUUGGAUUGAGACCAGCAGUGCUUUUUUAAACAGUGGAUUCUUUAUGACAUCAAGAUGUGGUUUGGGAAGGACCUUCAUCUAAAUCUGAAGACAGGACAUACUGGCUCAAAAAGGUGUUUCUGAUAUGGAGAAAAACCCUGCACUGCUCAUUUUAUUUCUUCAUCUUGAGAAUACAGCAAGUUUACCUUUUGUCUGGAAAAUGAUUCAGCAAAGCUAACACCAACAACAAUUUUUCAUGGCACUUUAAACCACCUUGAUGUGAGGAGCCAGCAUCAGAAUGGAUGGUGUCAAUAUCCUGAAAGUGGAGGUAACAGAGGUGGAUCUCGAGACUUGGCCAUGUUCUAGAUUAUAACUGGAUUAUCACAAGUGCUGUCGCCCCUGCUGUAUAUGACGCCCCCACCACCUACACCAGGUGUAGGAAAUGUCGGUCCUGGUGUGCCGUUGUCCUGCAGAGUUUUGCUCCAGCUCUAAACAAACACACCUGAACAACUAGAUCUGAAGAGUCACCAGAAAACUACAGGUAGGCGAGGUUUUAUCAGGGUUGGAAAUGAAAUCUGCAGGAUUUCGACACUCCAGGACCGACGUUGCCUACUACUGACCUACACCUUCAUCCUGCCACCACCACCCAUACUACCUACAAAAAACUGUAUUGUAAUUAUGCUUUUCACUGUAUUGUAUGAUGUGGUUUUCUCAUUUAGGGUAACUACACUAUGGCAACAAUUGGAUACAUUGAUUGCUGACUGAUUUUGUUAUUUUUUCUUUACUUUUUGUUUAAAAUCUAAUCAUUUUUUUUGUUAUUUUUGUUAAUAUUGUUACAAAUAUACAGUUAAAACUGCACAAUAAAUUUUCUGCUUUUAAA